rnacentral:rRNA from 1 species
GACGUAGGGCGCGAGCGUUGUCCGGAUUUAUUGGGCGUAAAGAGCUCGUAGGCGGCUUGUCGCGUCGUCCGUGAAAACCUGCAGCUCAACUGCAGGCUUGCGGUCGAUACGGGCAGGCUAGAGUUCGGUAGGGGAGACUGGAAUUCCUGGUGUAGCGGUGAAAUCGCGCAGAUAUCAGGAGGAACACCGGUGGCGAAGGCGGGUCUCUGGGCCGAUACUGACGCUGAGGAGCGAAAGCGUGGGGAGCGAACAGG